rnacentral:lncRNA from 1 species
AUGGGAGAAACUCCCCAAAUACAGAUGUGCCAAGCUUGUAGCAUCAUACCCAAGAAGACUCAAGGCUGUAAUCACUGCCAAUGGUGCUUCAACAAAGUAGUGCUCCAAAGGUGCUUCAUUUCUGGGAACUGCCUGUUGCCUGCCUGCUGUCUGCUGCCUGCUGCCUGCCUGCUGCCUGCCUGCUGUCUGCUGCCUGCCUGCUGUCUGCUGCCUGCCUGCUGUCUGCCUGCUGUCUGCCUGCUGUCUGCUGCCUGCCUGCCUGCUGUCUGCCUGCUGUCUGCUGCCUGCCUGCUGUCUGCUGCCUGCCUGCCUGCUGUCUGCUGCCUGCUGCCUGCCUGCUGUCUGCUGCCUGCCUGCUGUCUGCUGCCUGCCUGCUGUCUGCCUGCUGUCUGCUGCCUGCCUGCUGUCUGCUGCCUGCCUGCCUGCUGUCUGCCUGCUGUCUGCUGCCUGCCUGCUGUCUGCUGCCUGCCUGCCUGCUGUCUGCCUGCCUGCUGUCUGCUGCCUGCCUGCCUGCUGUCUGCCUGCCUGCUGUCUGCUGCCUGCCUGCUGUCUGCCUGCUGUCUGCUGCCUGCCUGCUGUCUGCCUGCCUGCCUGCUGUCUGCUGCCUGCCUGCCUGCCAGACUGCUGCCUGCCUGCUGUCUGCCUGCCUGCUGUCUGCUGCCUGCCUGCUGUCUGCCUGCCUGCUGUCUGCUGUCUGCCUGCUGUCUGCCUGCCUGCCUGCUGUCUGCUGCCUGCCUGCUGUCUGCUGCCUGCCUGCCUGCUGCCUGCCUGCCUGCUGUCUGCUGCCUGCCUGCUGUCUGUUGCCUGCCUGCUGUCUGCUGCCUGCCUGCCUGCUGUCUGCUGCCUGCCUGCCUGCUGUCUGCUGCCUGCCUGCUGUCUGCCUGCCUGCUGUCUGCCUGCCUGCUGUCUGCUGCCUGCCUGCUGUCUGCCUGCCUGCUGUCUGCUGCCCGCCUGCUGUCUGCCUGCCUGCCUGCUGUCUGCUGCCUGCCUGCCUGCCUGCUGUCUGCCUGCCUGCUGUCUGCUGCCUGCCUGCUGUCUGCCUGCCUGCUGUCUGCCAGCCUGCCUAACUGCUGCCUGCCAGCCUGCCUAACUGCUGCCUGCCUGCUGUCUGCCAGCCUGCCUAACUGCUGCCUGCCAGCCUGCCUAACUGCUGCCUGCUGCCUGCUUGCAAGUCUAUUUCUUUCAGCUUCAUGA